rnacentral:rRNA from 1 species
GAUGAACGCUGGCGGCGUGCUUAACACAUGCAAGUCGAACGGAAAGGCUCCUGCUUGCAGGGGUACUCGAGUGGCGAACGGGUGAGUAACACGUGGGUGAUCUGCCCUGCACUUCGGGAUAAGCCUGGGAAACUGGGUCUAAUACCGGAUAGGACGAUGGUUUGGAUGCCAUUGUGGAAAGUUUUUCGGUGUGGGAUGAGCUCGCGGCCUAUCAGCUUGUUGGUGGGGUAAUGGCCUACCAAGGCGUCGACGGGUAGCCGGCCUGAGAGGGUGUACGGCCACAUUGGGGCUGGGAUACGGCCCAGGCUCCUACGGGGGGGAGGAGUGGGGAAGUUUGCACAAUGGGGGCGAGCCUGAUGCAGCGACGCCGCGUGGGGGAUGACGGCCUUCGGGUUGUAAACUCCUUUCGCUAGGGACGGAGCGUUUUGUGACGGUACCUGGAGAAGAAGCACCGGCUAACUACGUG